UACGUAGGGCGCAAGCGUUAUCCGGAAUUAUUGGGCGUAAAGAGCUCGUAGGCGGUUUGUCGCGUCUGCUGUGAAAGACCGGGGCUCAACUCCGGUUCUGCAGUGGGUACGGGCAGACUAGAGUGCAGUAGGGGAGACUGGAAUUCCUGGUGUAGCGGUGAAAUGCGCAGAUAUCAGGAGGAACACCGAUGGCGAAGGCAGGUCUCUGGGCUGUAACUGACGCUGAGGAGCGAAAGACAUGGGGAGCGAACCGG
rnacentral:rRNA from 1 species